rnacentral:rRNA from 1 species
GACGAACGCUGGCGGCGUGCUUAACACAUGCAAGUCGAACGGAAAGGCCCUGCUUUUGUGGGGUGCUCGAGUGGCGAACGGGUGAGUAACACGUGAGUAACCUGCCCUUGACUUUGGGAUAACUUCAGGAAACUGGGGCUAAUACCGGAUAGGAGCUCCUGCUGCAUGGUGGGGGUUGGAAAGUUUCGGCGGUUGGGGAUGGACUCGCGGCUUAUCAGCUUGUUGGUGGGGUAGUGGCUUACCAAGGCUUUGACGGGUAGCCGGCCUGAGAGGGUGACCGGCAACAUGGGGACUGAGUUACGGCCCGGACCCCUACGGGAGGCAGCAGGGGGGAAUAUGGCACAUGGGGCGAAGCCCUAAUGAGGCAACGCCGCGUGCGGAUGACGGCCUUCGGGUUGUAAACCGCUUUCGCCUGUGACGAAGCGUGAGUGACGGUAAUGGGUAAAGAAGCACCGGCUAACUACGUG